GGUAGCAGGCCUUCCGGAGCUGGUUUACAGGAACUGGCUUCAAACCACUGUAUGCUGCUGCAUUUAAGAGAUGUGGUAGUGAGCGAUACAGAAAAGGUAGAGUUAACUCUAUCAGGU
rnacentral:ncRNA from 1 species